GACAGAGGGGGCGAACGUUGUUCGGAAUUACUGGGCGUAAAGCGCGUGUAGGCGGUCAUGCGAGUCGGGCGUGAAAUCCCUGGGCUCAACCGAGGAAGUGCGCCCGAAACUGCGUGACUUGAGUUCCGGAGAGGAUGGUGGAAUUAUCGGUGUAGAGGUGAAAUUCGUAGAUAUCGAGAGGAACACCAGUGGCGAAGGCGGCCAUCUGGACGGAAACUGACGCUGAGACGCGAAAGCGUGGGUAGUAAACAGG
rnacentral:rRNA from 1 species